rnacentral:lncRNA from 1 species
CGAUGUCUUGACAAUUCUGCUGAUAUAGCCUUGACGUUGCGUAAUCCUUUCGGCGACGUCAUGAUUUUUCCCUUUAUUCCCGUCAGCAACACCCUUUCAACGGCUGAUAUAUGAAAAAGGAGUUCGGUGACCCCUUGAAAAUUAUAUAUCAAAAGAAAGGAAAAUAAUACCUUAAAAACAUUUAUUUUUUAUAGAAAAAUCGUAGGAUUGGU